ACACAAAUACAGUCUUCAGGAUGAAUAUAAUCAAUUUUCACAGAGCAGGCAAUUGUCCUGUCAAAAAGGAUCCAUCUGGGCAAGAAAUUAAAUCAGACAACAGUCAGGAUGGCCUAUCCAAGCUAUCUGUACGUGCCCAGCUUGGCGCUGCAUCACAGAAAUUGUUGAAGAAAAGAAAAAGUAUUCCCGAUGAAUUACUAAUUGACAUCCUA